rnacentral:rRNA from 1 species
GGGUAGGGGUAAAAUCCUGUCAUCCUUAGAGGACCACCAGUUGCGAAGGCGCCACACUAGAACGGAUCCGACGGUCAGGGACGAAGCCUAGGGGCACGAACCGGAUUAGAUACCCGGGUAGUCCUAGGUGUAAACGCUGUGAACUUGGUGUCGGGAGUCCGCAAUGGGCCCCCGGUGCCGGAGUGAAGAUGUUAAGUUCACUGCCUGGGGAGUACGGUCGCAAGGCUGAAACUUAAAGGAAUUGGCGGGGGAGCACUGCAACGGGAGGAGCGUGCGGUUUAAUUGGAUUCAACGCCGGAAAACUCACCAGGGCCGACUGUUAUAUGAAGACCAGCGUAAUGAGCUUGUCGGAUUUUCAGAGAGGUGGUGCAUGGCCGUCGUCAGUUCGUACUGUAAAGCGUUCUGUUAAGUCAGAUAACGAACGAGACCCUCAUCUCUAUUUGCUACCUGUCUCUCCGGAGGCGGCGCACUAUAGGGAGACCGCUGGUGUUAAACCAGAGGAAGGCGAGGGCAACGACAGGUCAGUAUGCCCCGAAUGUCCUGGGCUACACGCGCGCUACAAAGGACGGGACAAUGGGAAGCCAGGCCGAGAGGCCGAGCUAACCCGAAACCCGUUCAUAGUUCGGAUCGAGGGCUGUAACUCGCCCUCGUGAAGCUGGAUUCCGUAGUAAUCGUGUUUCAAUAUAGCACGGUGAAUAUGCCCCUGCUCCUUGCACACACCGCCCGUCAAACCAUCUUAGUUGGGGGUGGGUGAGGCUGCGCUUUAUGGCGUAUUCGAGCCUGCCUUCGACAAGGAGGGUUAAGUCGUAACAAGGUAUCUGUAGGGGAACCUGCAGAUG